CGUCGUUGACCGUCACUACAUCUGAGGUCGUUUGGUCUUUUCGCCGUAGAUAACUGUGCAUAACCACCAUCCACGCUACAGUCCUGCUCGAGCCAUCUCUCAUUUGCCUCCUGUUCAGAGACAUCAAGCCAACCAGUGCAUUAAAUGCCCACAUGGUUCCUGUCUCCCUUCACCUUGCAGGAAAAUUCACAGAAUGCCAGGGACCAGCUCUGACACCCCUCCCUCACAGUCAUCCCCUCUGCUGUCUGACUGAAGGCCAAUCCACCUCCAAAAUCCCAUCUGCAGAAACCAUGGCUUAGGCUGCACCCGGCCACCUCCGAGCCUGCUCCUCCAGCCCCCAGCUCUUAAAUGCCAGGGUUAUAGUCUCACACCACCAUGCCAAGGCUGGUGUCUAAGGAAUGUGUGAGCCUGCCCACAGCCGGAUUCCGCCACACAGGGCCUCCCUCAGCCUUGUGUCUGCACUCAGGAUCUCUGGUAGCCAAGAUUUACCUUCAUCUACUGAUCUCGCUCAACCCCUGUAGGGCUAGGAUUGUGUUGAUGUCAAAGUCCAUCUAGAAGGACAGGGAAUGUCCAGGCGUCCAGGGCACACCGUGGCAGAUGGCGUCUUCAUCUUCGUCUUUGAGUUUCCUUACAGUGAGAGUGGACUGCUUUCAGCAGAGCCUGCAGACUCAUCCCAGGCUGUGGGGACUUCUCUGCCUUCUCACCCGAGAGCCAAACUACGAGAGUAGGAAACUGAUCCGAGGCUGCCGCACCUGAAAGACGGGGGACGAUCGACUCAAGGUUUGGGGGCUUUGGAAAUCUUGGUUUAAUUAAUUAAUUAGUUUAUUAUUUUUGUUUGUCAUCUUGACACACACUGAAGUUAUCUCGGGAGCAGAAGCUCUACCGAGAAAAUAGCUUGUCUUGUGACUUCUCUUGGGCAGACAGCUGUUAGCUGAAGUAAACCUUUUCUUCCACAAGUUCCUUUUGGUCAGGGUUUAACCACUUUAGGAACCCUAACUAAGACGUUC